rnacentral:rRNA from 1 species
UACGAAGGGGGCUAGCGUUGCUCGGAAUCACUGGGCGUAAAGCGCACUUAGGCGGCUUCUUAAGUCAGGGGUGAAAUCCUGGGGCUCAACCCCAGAACUGCCCUUGAUACUGAGGAGCUUGAGUCCGGGAGAGGUGAGUGGAACUCCGAGUGUAGAGGUGAAAUUCGUAGAUAUUCGGAAGAACACCAGUGGCGAAGGUGGCUCACGGGCCCGGUACUGACGCUGAGGUGCGAAAGCGUGGGGAGCAAACAGG